rnacentral:misc_RNA from 1 species
AACAUCGCGCACCUGCGGGAACCUGCGGAAGGAUCAUUACAAGUGACCCCGGUUUACCACCGGGAUGUUCAUAACCCUUUGUUGUCCGACUCUGUUGCCUCCGGGGCGACCCUGCCUUCGGGCGGGGGCUCCGGGUGGACACUUCAAACUCUUGCGUAACUUUGCAGUCUGAGUAAACUUAAUUAAUAAAUUAAAACUUUCAACAAUGGAUCU